UUAUUUUGACCUCAAAUUGCAUAUAAAUCAAAUACUACCACAUAUAAUUCCUCCCAAAACAAAACCCACAAAUCACUAUACUUAUAGAGCAUUGCAAGAGCUAAUCUAGCAAUGAGAGAUGAAAGGACAAAGUUGCUAACCUUUGUAAUCACUUGGAUGGACGGGGUGCCUUCAAAUCUUCACAAAUUUUGGCAAAAAUGGAGUGUGAGCUAUAGAGGAAGAGGAAGAAAACAAAGGAAAGGAAAGGGAAAGAACAGAGCGCUCGGGCUCGACGAAGGGUUUUAUAUAGGAUGACCUUUAGUACCGGUUGGUUAGACGAACCGAGACUAAAGGUGCAUCUCUAAUCCUGGUUCGUGGCAUGAACCGGUACUAAAGGUGCUGGUGGAGCCCCAGCCUAAUGGCAGCCUGCCACCACCUCUUUAGUAUCGGUUUGUGUCACGAACCAGUACUAAAGGUUCGCCAUUAACCGGUACUAAUGAGCGUCGCCCGUCUAGCCAUUGGAACCGGCACUAAUGGUCACAUUAGUGCUGGUUCAAUUACAAACCGGGACUAAUGAGCUUCACAUUAGGCCCUUUUUCUACUAGUGUAGGGCAAAAAAGGGUCGCCCUACAUCCACACCCAAUUGUGUGCCGAGGGUGGACUUGCAACUAGGAAAAAUAGCCAGGGAUGUUGCAUAUUAAGCGUGGACUUGCAGCUGGCAAAAAAGAGACAAACUCGAUUACAUGUCAGGGGUGGAUUUGCAACUUGGGCAAAAAGGGUUAGGACCCUUCAGUUGCCCGUCCAAAAUGGACUAGCAGCUGGGACAAGAAAAAGGGUCAAGCCUAGUUGUGUAUCAAGGGUGCAUUUAUAAUUGGACAAAAAAUGAAUCAUGCCCAGUUGCAUACGAAAAGGUGGAAUUGCAACCGAGGAAAAACAAAGAGGAGUGCCUAGUUGCAUGUCAGGGAUGGACUUGCAAUUAGGACAAAAAAGGGUUGGGCCCCUCAGUUGCGCGUUGAGCGUGAACUUGCAACUGGGACAAAAAAAAUAGGUUAGACCAAGUUGCUAUCAAAGAUAGACUUGUAAUUGAGAAAACAAAAUAGGUAAUGCCCUGUUGCGUAUCAAGGAUGGACAUGCAACUCAGGAAAAAAUAGAGGCGGGCCUAGUUGCAUGUCAGGUUUGGACUUGGAAAUAGGAAAAAAAAGGGUCUGACCCCUCAAUUGCAUGUUGAGGGUGGACUUGCAACUGUGACAGAAAAUUGGCUGGGUCUAGUUGCGUAUAAGGGUGGACUGCAACUAGGACAAAAAUGACAAGACCAGUUACAUAUUAAAAGGUAGAUUUGCAACUGAGAAAAAAGAGGCAUCCCAAUUAAACCUCAAGGGUGGACAUGCAAUUAUAACAAAAUGCACCCCCGCCCCAAAUAAAAAAAUAAAAAGGUAUAAAAGAGAAAACGAAAAACAUGAAUUUACAACCAAUAAAUUAAAAAUUAAAAAAAUCAAUGAAAAAUGAAAACAAAAACCAAAGGAAAAAGAACAGAGGCUAAAGAAGGCAAUCAACCAGCUCCUUCUUUUAUGAGUGGAGCUGGCCACAACAAGCACAAAUGUUCAGUCGCAUGACUUGGUGGAGUUGCGAUUCUGACAAAAAAUGGGUAGGGCUCAGUUGCGUAUCGAGGGUGGACUUAUAACUGGGAAGAAAAAAAGGCAUCCCUCCAGUUGCAUGUCGGGUGGGGUUGCAACUGGGACAUCUCUCCGCAAGUUAUGUGUCGAGAGUGGACUUGCAACUAGAACAAAAAUGGAGUUCAGAACUAGUUGUGUAUCGAAGGUGAACUUUCAACCAGGACAAAAACAUGGUAACCCCCCAGUUGCAUGUCGAGGGUGGACUUGCAACUGGGACAAAAAAAUCAGCUCACCAUAGCUGCUUGUCGAAGGUGGACUUGCAAAUGUGAGAAAAAUGGGCUGGGCCUAAUUGCGUAUCGAAGAUAGACAUACAACUAGGAUAAACAAAUUACAUGUUAGGGAUGGAUUUGCAUCUAGGAAAAAAAGGUGGGACCAAGUUGGGUGACGAGGAUAGAUUUGCAACCGUGACAAAAAAAGUCAAGCUCCCAUGUUGUAUGUCGGGGUGGUGUUGUAACUAGGGACAAAAAUGGGUGCUCCCGGUCAACUGUCGGGAGUGAACUUGCAAUUCGGAUAAAAAAAUAGGCAGGGUCCAGUUGUGUAUCGAGGGUGAACUUGCAACCAGUACAGAAAAAAAGGAGCCCCCAAGUUGCAUGUCAGGGGUGGAGUUGCAACUGGCAUCUUCGACAUCAAGUUUGGAAGAAAUAGAAAUAGGCAACGACAAGCGAUAUAGACUGUCUCUUCCACUUGAACAACGCAGACCAGAUAAAAUGUGUCACAAGAGCGCCAGAAAAAAGGCCGACAAAAAGCAGGCUGACAAAGUGGACAGACAUCUUGGAAAAAUUGAUUGUACUGUUGAUAAUUUAGAUGUGACAUUGAUAAUUCCCAUCUAGAUGACAUAGCUAAUUCUCAUGUAGAUGGUAGAUUCAAAAAAAAAUCAUGAAAUCUAAAAAAUCAUAGACUCUGAAAAGGUUUCAUAAAUAAAAAAAUCAUGAAUUCAAAAAAGUGCUUGCGCACCUCAAAUAGUUUUCAUAUACUAAAAGUAUCAUGAAUUGAAAAAUUAGAAAAGGAAAGGAGAAGAACAACAAAAAAGGAAAAAGAAAAAAGAAGAAGAAGUCAAUACAAAAUUCUCCCUGAAAAAAUAGAGAAAAAAUGAUAGUCAAAAUGUUUAAGACAAAAAGAAAACAAAAUACAAACAGCUUGUCAGUGCCUUGAAAAAACGCAAAACGCUCAAAACAAAAACGAAAGAAAUGGUUUGACUCUCGGCAUCUCCACUACCACUCAAAACCGUUUAAAUAAGAAAGAAAAAGAGCCUGAUACGCAGCCCGUUAGACCACGGAAGCCCAAAUGACCCAUACUAAACGAGCAGCGAGCUGUUCGCUUCUGCUUAUCGACAAAAAAAUGCAACAAAGCAUACGAGGGGACAAUGCACGAAGCUAAAAAAAAUGUACGAACCUGCAAAAAAAUAGAUGUGAAAUAGUUAUUUUUUUCAAUAUUUAUAUCUCAUUGCAACGCAGGGGCAGUCCUAUUUAUUGAAAAAGAAACAUGUUGGCGCUAUCUUCAGGGCUUGUUUAGGCUAUUCACUUGGCAGGUUUAUAUGCAUGUUGGUGUGUCUAGGUCUUAGUCGACUUAAACUUAACCAAGUCUCAGUCAAGUGAUAUAAUAUAUAAAAAAAAGUAAAAACUGAAAAGAAAUUUUUGUACGAUUCUUCAUGCAAGAUCAAUGUAAUAUAAUAUCCAUUCAGACAUAACGAAGUUUAAGUCAAAUGAAACUUAGCAAAACUGAUGUUAUAAUCACCAAAUCCAAACGGAAAAUCCAACCGAAUCGAAUAGCUAGGGUAGGAGCAGUGACACCGCGUUGAGCAGCCGGCCACCACUAAUAAAAAUUAAAAAGAUCAGAGCAACCAAACUGAUCCAUAUGUCACCCGCCCUGCUAUUUCACAUUUGAAUAUUGAAGAGGAAGAUGCAGACAAUUUCAUGGCCUGCUUCCGACCCAUAUGUCAGCAGCUUCUUGCAAGUGGAUGCUGCAGACCCAACCAUCAUUUCAUUUUUAACCCGACCCUGUCAACCCGUCUGCUUGGAUUUAUCCUGCGCUUCUACCUGGGGACAGUUCGGACCAAGACUCGUUCCCCACCCCAGCCAUGGGUUCUGGAGCUUAAUUGCAGCCGUUCCCGCCAAGAAUCAAGCAGAGUGACAGAAGAAAAUCCGUUGCCGCUUGUGAUCGACCCGACGACCACCAUGGAGGCCAUGCACGCUCGCCUCGCCCUCGCCUUCCUCCUGUUCGUCGCGCUUGCGGCGGCACAGCAGGUGCCGGCGCCGGCGCCUGCCGACGUGGGUUGCAACGGCGUCUUCCUCACCUACGCCCCCGAGGCCCACCAAAGGAUCAGGCCGUUCGUGGACCCCGCCGCCGCCGCGGCCGGCAGGCAGCCCUACUCCUUCCGCGCCAGCGCCACCGUCCUCAACAACGGCGUCCGCACGCUCCCCUCGUGGUCGCUGCUGGUCGCCUUCGCGCACGGCGAGAUUCUUGUCAGUCUCGACGGCGGCGUGCUCACCUUCGGGGACGACCUGCCGUACAACACCACGGCGGCCGGUGGCGGCGCGACGUCCUUGUCUGGGAACCCGCAGACGGACCUCCUAACGCCGAUCGCCACCGCCGGCGACCUGACCAGGAUACAGGCGACGGUGAGGCUGGUCGGCACGCUGUUCGCCGGGCCAGAGCCGGUCGUGACGCUCCCGUCCGCGAUCUCGCUGGCCGACCCCGCGUACACCUGCUCGCCUGUCGCCACCGCGCCAACGGUCCUCUCCGCGUGCUGCGUGCUGAUUGCGCCGGACCAGCCCUCGGCCGUGCCGCCGGCGGCCGGGAACACCUACCUCCCGCGCGUCACCGGCGACCUCGUCAUCACCUACGACGUGCUCCAGGCGCACGAGACCACGUACCUGGCGCUGGUGACGCUCGAGAACAACGCGCCGAUGGGCCGCCUCGACGGCUGGGAGCUGUCGUGGGAGUGGCGGCGCGGCGAGUUCGUCAACUCCAUGAGAGGCGCGUACCCGCGGGAGGUGGACGCCAGAGGCUGCCUCUACGGCCCGCAGGGGCAGUACUACAAGGACCUCGACUUCUCCAAGGUGCUCAACUGCGAGCGCCGGCCGGUGGUGCACGACCUGCCGCCGUCCCGCCGCGACGACACGUCCCUCGGUCAGAUCGAGCACUGCUGCAGGAACGGCACCAUCCUGCCCAAGACCAUGGACGAGGCGCAGUCCAAGUCGGCGUUCCAGAUGGAGGUGUACAAGAUGCCGCCGGACCUGAACCGGACGGCCAGGCCGCACGCCCCGGCCAACUUCAGGAUCUCCGGCGCGUCGCCGCUCAACCAGGCGUACGCGUGCGGGCAGCCAGCGCUGGUGAGCCCCACGGAGUUCCCGGACCCGAGCGGGCUCGUCUCCACGACGCUCGCCGUCGCGACGUGGCAGGCGGUCUGCAACAUGACCGUCGACGACGCCAAACCGUCCAAGCCGCCGCAGUGCUGCGUGUCCUUCUCCGCGUUCUUCAACGAGUCGGUGAUCCCCUGCAGCACCUGCGCGUGCGGCUUCCCCACCCCGGCGCCUACGACCUGCAGCACGACGGCGCCGGCGCUGCUCCUGCCGCCGCACGCGCUGCUCAUGCCGUUCGAGUGGCGGGCCAAGGAGACGCUCAAGUGGUAUCACGACGAGGAGCUGGGCGCGCCGCCGAACCCGAUGCCGUGCGGCGACAACUGCGGGGUGAGCGUGAACUGGCACGUGGCCACGGACGCGGCCGGCGGGUGGAGCGCGCGGGUGACGCUCUUCAACUGGGAGGAGGGCGCGGACAUGCGCGACUGGUUCGCCACCGUCGUCAUGGGCGACAAGGUGUACGGCGGGUUCGAGCAGGCCUACUCCUUCAACGCCACCGCCGUCGGGGACGGCGCCAUCUUCAUGCGCGGCAGGGAAGGCUUCGAGCUCCUGCUGAGGGAGAGCAACGUGAGCGGCGUGGACUACCCCGUGCCCGGGAAGCAGCAGUCCGUGCUCUCCUUCACCAAAAAGAAUGGCCCCGGCGACGUCGACGUGGUUGGCGGCGACGGGUUCCCGACCAAGAUCUUCUUCAACGGCGAGGAGUGCGCCAUGCCACAGAUGAUUCCGAGCCAGGGGGUUGGCACUCGCGCUAGCCGUGGUGGUGCACUCGUGCUCUUGCUACUCUUCCUCUUCUUCUUCUUCUAGAAUUUUGGGGCCUGCAUUUGACCUGAUUACAAUUGAAUUUUGAAGCAAAAAAUAAUCCGAUGUCUAUACAAUGAUCGAUGUUGCUUAUUUACAUCUAGUCUUUUAAAAGAAACCAAUAUCACCUCCAGCCUACUUGUGCAGAAACAGGAUUAAUUGUACACCAGUCUGCACAGCUGAAGAAAGAUAGACCUCCAAACUCCAGCAUCUAUUGCCGAAGCUGCAGAACCGGAAGAGAAAGUUUCUGCAGUUCCAUCGUUGCGGAGAAUGCAGCUAGCUGAACACACCUUUGACAUGAACAUUGCGCCUAUGAAUUAAGCGGGUCAUCUCCGAAUUGGACAUCGGGACUACACCCUGAUUGAAGUUAUAAAUAAUGGCGAUAGAUCAAAUGGACCAUGCCAUUUUUGUAUGAUUGUGCAAACUUAGCUCAAGAUCUAGUGAGGGCAACCCUUUAUUUUCUGGUCUUGGAGAGACGAUUAUGAAAAAAAUGAUCUCGUGUUAUUGGCGGGUAGCAUGGCAUAUUGACCCACCUAAUAACAGUUUAACUCUUUUCACCCUAAAAAAGAGUUUAACUCUUUUCAUUGCCCAAAAUACUUUGACAUCCCCGCAAAAAAAAAACAAUGACAUGCAAAUUAUCAAACAAUUAAUACUGGUCAUUAAUUCGUUUCUAAUUUUUCAAAUACCACAAGGGGAUGUAGCUCAGAUUGUAGGGCGCUCGCUUAGAGCAUCUCCAACAGCCGCUCAAUGCGUGGCGCCCAAAAAACGGGGUUACAACGCGCAAGUAGUUUUUUUAGGGCACUAGAAGACGUUUGCUCCAACAAGCGCUGUAAAAUAUGCUACGCGCGCGGGUCCAGCGGCCCCAAUCAAGCGGUCCCAUCUGCAGCAGGCCAGAGUUUACAGCUCGCGCGAUCAGGUGCACUAAAUAUGCUGCGCGCGAUGCCUUUUUGAUGCGCGUGCUGCAUUAGUUAUAUAGGCGCACGUUUUUUGUGUGGCCGCUGGAGACUCUAAACCAGGUCCCCGCGCGCUAAAAGCAGUUUUUAUACCACGCGUCGCUUAUAUAGCGCUUCUGUUGGAGAUGCUCUUAGCAUGCAAGAGGUAUGGAGAUCCAUACCCCACUUCUCCAUUAUAUUUUUGUAAUUAAAAACCUUGACUUUACUUUUGCAAACUCCAAAUCUCACAAACAUGCCCGCAACGCUUUUAUUUAGCCAUAAAAGAUACUCCCUUUGUAGUGCAAUAAUAAUCACAGGCCUAGACCAAUAUGUUACCAUCAUUUUCCUCAGAAAACAAUGUUACAACAACCAGGUAUGGGGAUCGAUACCCCACUUCUCCAUUAUAUUUUUGUAAUUUUUAGCAGAUCUGAAAAUACUGUAAAAAAACCUUGAUUUUACUUUUGCAAACUCCAAAACUCACAAUCAUGCCCACAACGCUUUUAUUUAGCCAUAAAAGAUACUCCCUUUGUAGUGCAACAAUAAUCACAGGCCUAGACCAAUAUGUUACCAUCAUUUUCCUCAGAAAACAAUGUUACCAUCAUGAUUUUAUUACCGUCCUCUUUGUAGAAAAAUGAUGAAAAUGAUACUCGGAGAUAGUCACAACAUUACAGAAAGAAAGAAAAACGCAUCUAUAUGUUCUGUCCUACACCCAACCAAAUGUAUUCAGUCAAUCAGUCUCGUCAGUGCACCAACCAGGUCAUUUGGAUUACAGGAUCCAAGUUGGAGAAGAUGGGUGCUCAGAUAUGCUCAAAGGAUAACUUUAUAGUCAAGAAAUUCAUAAAAAGCUUGCGGAGAUAACAUCGAGAAGUAAGAUGUCAGCGGGUCAUGAGCAACAAGCACAUCCCUUGGCAGAGAUGAGGAUGUUUAUUUGCAGAAGAGUGCAGCCUGUGAAAUCUAUGGGGGUUGCUUGCUUGCUAGUAGGCCUUUCUUUCCCCCCGCACAAAAAAGUAGGCAUUUGAUUUCCCUGGCGAGGAGUGCGCCACACCAUAAAGAAUUCGGAGUUAGGGACGGGCAUUUGGGUCACAUGAUCUUCAUUAUCAUUGAUAAAUUCAUGGACUGUAAUUGUUUCAGAUGCAUCUAAGGAACAAUGUAGUCAGUGGUGAAAUUUUCCCAUUUUUAUUCUCCUCGGAGAAAAGAUUUCUUUGUGAUGUAUCAUUUCUCUCAAUGCAGAGCCUCUUUAUUUUACUGGUUAAUAUAACCACCCUAAAGUAUCACAAAACAUAUCUAUUACUAUCAUAUUGCUUUGAGGGAAUCUCUAUUAUUAUCAUAAAUAAAGAAAAAAUAUAUGUUAUUCCUUGGACAGAGGGAUAAAGUUGUAGUACUACCUUCGACAUUUGUUAUUGAUUGAUAUGGUAAAAUCAAAUCCACUGACAUCAUCGGUCCAAUUACUUUAUAGCACCCUUUUUCCUUCAAUUAUGUAUAAUUUAUUUCCUUCUUCUAGAAUUUGGGGCCCGCAUUUGACCUGAUUACAUUUGAAUUUUGGAGCAAUUUUUCCUCUUCUUUUAUUGAAGAAAGGGGUUCCUCUGGUUCCACCCAAUUUUUUUCUUUAUCGAAUGAUAUCCUGUGUAGACUGUGUUAUAUAUAUCACAGAGAGAAAAAACUCAUUAAGUACAAACCGUAGAAACUUAGCCACACAGCCGUCAGAAAAAAUAUGUUGAACUGUUUCAGUGUCACUACAGAAUAAGCAUGAACCAUCGUUCAUUGUCCUACGCUAGCCAAAUUAUCUCCAUUAGGGGACCAGAGUAAAAGCAUCCCUGAAGGGCCGUAUGAGCUGCUGCUACUGCCUGAUCUUCCUCUCUCAGCUGGAGAUACACAUUGCUUAUCAUGUGUCAGAAAGGUUGUCACAGACGAUGAGGGUCUCAAUCUCACCAAACUUGAUAAGUUCCUCGAAGAUAUCCACAUAAAAAUCUUCAGAAUGCUCUCUUGCAUCUUGCGGGGAUCUAUAGGCUGGCCUUGAGCACCAACCCCGGGGCCGGGGGUAAUCAUUUCAGGGCGCUGAUGUGAUACAUGUUCAUGCUUGACUUGUUAUAGAUGCGGGAGCAGCGAUCGCCAUGACGACAAGCUCCGAUCUUGAAGUAAAAUGGACAUGGGCAGUUGACCCUGUCUUUCUCUGUACCAAAUUUGUGAUGUUGCAAGAGCUGCUAGUUGAUGCAGGAACAACAGAAGGGCAGCCUGUAUGUGCCAGAUUCUAACCCAUGUAAUCUCACCAAAGAAAAUGCCUUGCGCACAACUAGCCUUAAACAGGUGCUAUUCUAUUUGACAGACUCUGUGUUUCAGAUGUUUUUCCAAGUGGUUGAAGCUCUAAUAGCAGGCCCAACUUUUAUCUCACCAAAGAAAAUACCAUGAAUUAUUUCUGUAUACUUUUUUUCUUCUGGUAGUUCGUAAGACACUGAAGACAAUAAUAUAUAAAAUGAAGGAGAGAAAUGAGAAAUAUCGUUACUGCUGCUUAUUUUGUUCUACUGGCUUCGCCUCUUUCGAUCUUCUUAGAGCAUCUCCAACAGGCAUCCAAAAAGAGCUCCGCGCACUAAAAGUUUAGUUUUUUGGGCGCCGGGCAGCUCCAGCAGAAGCUGUAGCGCUAAAAGUUUUUGGGCGCGCGCGGAAAAACGCUAUCGCGCGCAGCAUAUUUUGGGCACCGGAUUGCGCGCGCUUCACAAUUUGCACUGUCUUCUUUUUGAGCACGCGUUUUUUGGCGCCUGCUAAAGCAAAGUUGGUACCGGCGUAUUAAAAGUACUACAGUGGCGCGCUAUAACGUUUAUUGGGCGCAGAAUUUUUGUGCGGCCGUUGGAGAUGCUCUUAUGCACUUUUUUUGACCUCUUCUAUUGCUCACAUGCAUGCUUGCUUUCCGUUUGAACGAAAGGUGUCCAUUGCUCUGGAAUAAGAGUAAAGGGAUGCGCUAGUAAGUGAAAAAAAGAUGGCUAACUUGAUUGUAUCGUGCCUUUAAAUAGUAUCAUGUUGGUCUGUUCAACAAUUGUUGAUAUUGUAGAACUUGUCAACUUGAUACACACUCCUGCACAUAGCAACAACAUUACUAAAGAUGUUAAAACUCAAAACACAGGCGGAGAAUAGAAAAAUAUAAUUUUUCUUAAAGAUCAGGCAGUGGCGGAGACAAGGGGGGGCGAGCAGGAGCCUGGCCCCCCCUAAUGAUCGAGCGAUGCUACCUAAUUAGCGAUACGAACGCACGUAUUCCUCAGGAUUAUACAUACUCGGCUCCCCCUAUCUGGACGCUAAUUUUAGAGAAAGGGAAUAGGCCCAUGUGAAGCCCACUAGCGGCCAGGUUAGGCGAUUGGCUUUGUUCUCCUGGCCCGGGCGUUGCAUUCUCGUGUGAUUAACCUAUACGUGGAUUAGUAUGUGAUAUCAGUCGCCGACGUUGCGUGCCCUCGCAUGCCCGGCCGCCUCUGCUCGCUCUCCCCGCCCUGCUGCUGCCGAUCCUAUUUAUACGUCGACGGCGCGACGCAACCUUCUUCACUUGUCAAAUCUUCCGGAUCCAACCAGCGGGAAGUAGGCAAGAACCCAAGGUUUAACACAUCAGUAAAUCAUACCAUGCAUCUACUAAUCUCAAUCCUCAUCAUGUAUCAUUGUUGAACUUAUACGUCAGAUUUUUAUCGUUUAAUUGUUUUGGUUGUAUGAUUUGUCAUGCUGUGAUUCUGUGAAGAAUUCCUAUCUUGUACGUGUCCUAAAAAUUAUAGUGAUCGUGAUUCAAAUUAUCUUGUAUGAAUUCUUAUUUCUGUUGCAAAGUUUUCUUAUGUCCAACUUGUCCAAUAUAGCUAAUUGCAGAUUGCAAUUCGGCAGCAAUGAAGAGAAAAGCGCCACCAAACAUUGUUAAGAUUGAUUCAUUUUUUAAGCCGAUUGCUUCAAGUUCUCAACCUACUAAAAUUGUUAAUGUGACUGAUGCGCAAGUUACUAACCCCGGUACAAUUGACACUCACGAUCAGGAUAUGCCUGACCUGGUAAAUAUUGCAGAACAAGCAAAACCAUGCAAAUUGGGAGCUGCCACUAGACAAGCAAGAUAACGACAUUUUUAUAUAUCCGAGGGACUAUAUCAGGUGGGAAGUGGCCCGGACACUCUAAAUAUCAAUAUAUCUUUUAAGAACCAAACGGGAGACUUACUUCGGCAUUGCAUGAUCAUAUCCGCGCCAUCGAAACAAAUUAGCAGGUAAGUUCUCUUCCAGUGAAAUUAUUAAUUUUUUAUCAUCUUAUUGGCAAUUGUAGAGGUAAUUUAAACUCAUACAACCCAUGUUUUGUAGUGUGUAGCACAUACUACGGUAUGAUGAUAUUUUUUUUUAUUUUUUGGUCUAGAAAGGAAGUUAUGAACUUGACUUGCCCCCCCCCCCCCAUACCAAAAUCCUGGCUCCGCCCCUGAGAUCAGGGGCAUUCCAUGUUAAAUUUUUGCUCCCGAUUAUCAACCUGAUAGAACUGAAUAUUGUAUUGCAAACAAAAUAGGCACUAGGGGCAUCUCCAGGGACCUGUCCGUGGAUACGGAUGUGGAAGCCGGCCAUUCAAUACUACCCACAUACAUUUCAAACCGCAAUCCAACUAAUCAGACAAAAUUCAUUAAACACAACAGAAUUUAUCAAAGUUCGGAUAGAAAGUAGCACAAAUCAUCCAUACAUAGGACACAAAAUAAGUCAAUUACAAUAAUAGUUCAAAUUCAAUGGGAUUAACCGGAUGUUGAACAAGUUUUUCAUGAACAGAUCAUGUCGUCCCACAUGUACUGCUCCUUCAACUUCAUCCAACAGUGUAUGUGCGUAAAUGGCCGACCCUCUAUCCUGUAGUACAUCACGGCAGCGCGUACGGGCCACACAAUGUUAGAGCAACGUUGAGUGAAUGAAUGAUUCAAUCAACAAGUUGAGCAAGAAGAAGCAAAACUUACGAUCUCCUCCGCUGCUGCGCGCAAUGGCCACCUUGCCUCCAUCCGAUCAACCGCGUCACAAAACUUGGCAACGAUGGUCUGGAUGGUGUACCAUCGAUACGAUAACGACUUCACAUUGCGUUCAUAGAUAAUGUGCAUGUCGUAGGGCGCAAUAUGCUUUCGCGCGUGAAACGAAUCAUGCACGCGCUACCAGAAGAGCCCUCUUCCGCUCCUGUCUACGAAGUCCGCAGAUACGCCAACCACGCAUCGCACAACAACUCAUCCUCCAUUGUUGAGUACCCCAACAUCCUUCUUACUGUAAAAAACGACAUGAAGGCAAGAUGCAGACAAAUUUAAGUUUGAUAAAUACUCUCUCCGUCCCAAAAUAAGUGACUCAACUUUGUACUAUGGAGUGUUAUCUUUGGGCUUGCGUCUUUCCUUGUUUUGAAAACAAAUUAACACAAUACAUCCUGAAUAACAUUGAACAUCGUUUAUAACCAUGCAAGUCCAAGAAGCCAAAUGCACUAAGGUCAGAGAUUCACAAACAAACCAGUAUCCCCAGUGUUCUUUAUAUAGUGCUUUUGUGCAGGUAUCGCCUGAGGAUCAGUUCCAAAAUGUGUGAAGCAACAUGUGUGAGAAACUGAUGAGUUCUACAACCGCUUGAAAAUUGGUUUUACAGUCUCAUUCUACAACAUGUUUGGGAAAGAAUUCAGGUGUAGUACUUAAAUCUUUUAAGUAAUAAAGCACCCUUUUUUGAAAAAAUGUUUGGGAAAGAAUAUUUUAUUGUCAUGAAGUUAUGGAGCUGUGUUUCCCGCGAAAUCCAGUUACAGCCUCAUUCUUCUGCACCCAUAUUCCAAAUUUCCAAGUGCAACUCACAGCUCAAACCUAUCCAGUGAACACAAGGCAAAAACUUGUACAAAGAUUAAACCCAAGGUAACUCAGCAAAUUCAGUGCAUAAACUAGAAUUUCAAAAAAGAAUCCAUCACUUCACAAGGUUUAGAUAUCGGUCCACAUUUCACCGCGACCAUUUUGUUGGCCCAAACCAUCUUUGUAUGCCAAAAUAAAAGCAAUCAUUACAAGUAAAGUUCAAGUUUAGCUAGCAGAAGCAUAAGAGCUAAUGAUUUUUGCACUAGCAAGUUGUCAUGUUUGAACUGGAGACACUUCCGAAGAACAUAAGCUGCAAGGCGACGGGCGGUAGCCUUUUCUCCACUCUGCAUUGACAUCAAGUGGUGCAACUCCAUGUACAGUACAUGACAAAGAUUUUUCUGUAGUAAAGAAUAGAUAUUGGUCAAAAUGCAGGACAAAGUUUUUUCUGCAGUAAAAGAUACAUGACAAAGUUUCUUCUGCAGUCAACAAGUACUACAAUUCAGAUUCAUGCCGCGUCAUAAUUUCAGAUAACCAAGCAACACAUGAACCAACUAUCAAUUGUAAAAUAGGCCAUACGCUCUUGGCAUGGUCAAGAAUAGAAAAAUUAAAACAAAGCAAAGAAUGCAUGAUUAUCUCUCAAGAACAUAUGAGUUGGGCUUUGGCAGUAUUCAAAUUCCAUGUGUUGAACUACUGCUACAGGCUGACGAGUAUAAGAACACCAAAACUCCAGUCAAUAAUGGCACAAAAAUAAAUAAUAAAUAAAUAUAAGAUGGAUGUAAUGCAGAACAAGAAAAUACAAGUACAACUAUGGUGGUGCUCGAACCACGCAACAAUCAGGCAAUCUAUUUGAAAUUUGUGAUUGAUGAAUAUACAAACUACCAUCUGAAAAAGAAGACUCGGUAAUCAACUUGGUAAUUACUAAAUUCAGUUCUGUAAAUAGAGUUAGGACGAUGCUGAGUGAAACUAAUGAAACAUUGGAUUUCGAAACAACAUUAUUUUGCAGUUAAAUUAGUACGAAUAACAAUCUUACCGUCUACAAAUGAACUUCAGAAUGAGUGUGAGCAGCAUCCAAAAUAAUACUUUGACCACAAAAAUCAACAGAUGAGCAUCAAGAAAGAAGCUUCUUGGGGCACAUCCAACAUAACAAAACCAUGGAGAAGAUUCAAAAUGAGUAUGAGCAGCAUUCGAAUAAUAUCUUUGCCUAAUAGUUUAUUAACUAUGAUUUGAUUAGAUGGCAGCUGCUGAACCAGUCAAGGGUUACUCCAAUCAUCUCUGAAAUAAGUACACACUAACACCAACACUGCUUGUGUAUUGCUGCCAUUGUAUGCAAUGAAUUAAUGGUCUUGACUAGUACAGUAAUCGGCUACUAGAAGUAGAAAAAAAUGAACACAACAGCAUCCAAAAGAUAGAAGAAAUAAGAAAUAUGUAAAUGGAUACAACUUGCAGCAUCGAAAUCUAGAGCAUUCCAAUUCAGAACCAAGGAAAUUAGGACCUACAGGCCAUAAAAGCCACAAUGGUAAGAUCAUUGCUAGAUAGAAACUAGAAAUAGAACACCAUCAUUUACAUAAAAUGCAGCUUGCCGCUCGAACAAAACAAUCAGCACAGACAGAUCAAUUUUGUAACAUUUUAUCUGGAUAUUCACUAAACAUGUUCUGGCAGUUCAGCUCAAGGUUGACUGGACUAGUAGAAUUCAGGUAAUCAGAAAAUAGACUGAUAAGUUCUAAACAUUGUACCAUACUAUGCAGUGCAAGUUCAUUGGAGUAUACCUUAGGACAGUAUAUAGUGUAGAUUUACCUUCUGGAGGCAUCCAACUUUGUACAUGGCUUUUUGAAAAUCCGAGGCAAUUCUUCUGAAGUACUGACCAACGAUGCAACUAAACAGCUCAACUGAAAUUGCUGCGUGUCGCUUGCAAUUUCUAAGCGGGUGAAGAAAUCCCGUCACAUUGUCUUUGUACACGGUUUUCUUCCCUGUUUUAUCUUCGUAGUAAAAAGUUUGUUUAAGAUACGAGUUCCUCAGAAAGUUGGGCUUUAUCUGCCAUCCAUUAUACUGUGAUAAUGCAAGGAUUACUGAAUUAUAUGCUUCAGGAUCAUCCUUUUCUAAAUCAAGUAAUCUAUCAUAUAGUCAUUUAUAUGUCCUCCUAAGAAGUCAUCAAGCAAGCCAAUGUGGCACGAUAGUAGCUCUGGUGGUUCUUCAUUCGACAAAGCCAAAAUCCACUCAAAAAUAGCAUCGGGAAUUGACUUUCCAAGGAGCACUUCGUUUUUUAUCAUUCUCACAAAAGACUCCUUGUCCAGAUCCACGUCAUCAUUGCUUUUGAUUUCCUUUAAUUUUUCUGCUGUUAGAUUACCAAUCUUAACAGAUUUGGAUCUGUCAACUACAAAAUUGACAGCGCCAAAGUCUCCUCUCAUCAUGAUUCCAUCAACAUGCAUCGCUGCCAUGGCUAAAUAUGAUUUUCUGAAAUAUAAUUUAACUUCGGUGGCAGCCAAAAUGGACACGUUCUUGUUAUCACUUCCUGGUGUUGGGAAGAACUGGGUCACAUGGUCUUCAUUAUUCUUAAUAAAAUCUUUGACAGUAAAUGUUUCAGACGUAUCCAAUGGACAAUGCAGCCAGUGGUGAAAUUUUCCAUUUUUAUUCUCCUCGGAGAAAAGAUUGCGCUGCGAUGUACUAUUUGUCUCCACACAGAGCCUCCUUCUUUUACUAGUUGAUAUUAGUGCCAUAAAGUAUCACAAAACAUCUCUAUUACUAUCAUAUUGUUUUGAGGGAAUCUUUAUUUACUAUCAUCUAUAUCUAUAUUUAUAUCUAUAUCUAUACCAAUAUAAAAGACCCAAAAGGGCAGAUCCAACUGAUCUCGGCCAUCAAACUAAGUCAAUCCAAUGACCUAGACUGCUCCAAUGGUGAGUGUUCAACGUGUUUAACAUGCAAUUAAUAUCAUACCAAAUAUUGCACUAAUCACAGAAUUAACACACAAAUAAUAUCAUACCUAAUAUCCGUGUGUAAUUAAAAUAUUGCCUAAAUAUCAACGUGUGUUGCACAUGCGCAUUUACUAGUAGAUACAGAAAAACACAAUGUAAUUCGUUAAACAGAAGGAUAGAGUAGCACCUUUUCAAAUUUGCUACUAUUUGGUGUGGUAAAAUCAGAGCCACUGAAAUUAUUGCACCCAUUGAUCCAAUAGCUGCAAACCAUGUGUUUUCCUUCAAAUGUCCACAAUCUAGUUAAUCCUUCACCUAUAUCAUCUUGUUGCAUACUUAGUAUAAGUCUAAAAAAAGAUAAGAGUUUAACAUUAAGAGUUAACAAAUUUAGAUUGUUACAGUGUUAAGAUAUGAGUUGUCAGUUCGUACUAGAUUGAUGGUACAACUGCUCCGCCCAAAUUGAAGAUGUUUCUUUCAUAGUAAGUGCGCUGCAUAAAUAGAAAUAAUGUCCAUCAACACAUUAUUAGCACCAAAGGAUGCAAUCAUAUGAUUUUAGUUGCAAAACUGAAAUAAUAGGAGAAAGUUUGAAUAACAUAAACUCUCUAAAAUUUAUAUAGAUUAAGUAACAAGAACAAUUUGCUGAGCGGUUUGCACAAAGAAUCUGAACAUGCAAACCUCAAUAUCUGGCAUAUAUAUGUACCCAAUGAGACAAGUAGAAAAGCACAUUCACAGAUCAAAUUAAACUAAAAAUCAAAGAUGACAAGGUUACAUUUUGCCGUUCUUAAAUUUUUUUUAGAACAAAUACUCAAGACGAGAAUUACAAGAUACAUGGAUGCUGAAAGCAAAGUCACAACACAACACACAUGAGCAAUCUACAGCUCCGGUACACAGAUUGAACAUAAGAGAUAAACUAGGGUUUGAGAGGAGAUGGUGUUGUUGAAGAUGUUGAUGGAGAUUGCCCUCCCCAAAAUGAGAGAGUUGUUGCUGAUGAUGAUGACAAUGAUUUCCCCUUCCGGGAUGGAAGUUCCCCCAGCGGAAUCGCUCCGCCGGAGGGCAAAAGUACUCCUGCCCAAGUUCUGCCUCGAGACGGCGGCGCUCCGUCCUGAAAGUCCUCCCUCUAUUUUUUCUAGGUCAAAAUGACUUAUAUACCAAUAGAUGGGUACCGGAGGUGCGCUCGGCUAGCACAGCCCACUAGGGCAUGCCUGGGCGUCCAGGCGUGCCCUGGUGUCUUGUGCUCACUAGGUGGACCCCCUCCGGUGGUUAUUUGCUCCAGUAUUUCUUAUCUUUUGCCUACUAAUAAACCAGCGAGUGCGCCUGGUCGUACGUCAUCGGCAUUUUCGCCAAAAAGUCCUUGUGGUUUUGUGUAUUAAACCCGCAGUCCUAUUUUUAGUGGCUACCGGAGAAAACGUUUCGUUUUUACAAAAAGGUCCCUGCAUUCUGGUGUAUUCAACCCGCGAUCCUGGCUCUGAGAAAACGUUGCAAAAAACAUGCAUAACGAGCGACUGGGGGCGGCGGCUGCUCGAUGCGGAAUGACGCUGGUGGCUGGGGGGCAGCGACUAUUCGAUGCGGAACGACGUCGGCGGCUGGCGCUUGCAGGGACCGAAUCCGUGCGCGGUAGAUCCUGGGGAGGCCGAUUCGGAGGCGGGCGGUGUCACACCCGCACGGGAAUUGGGGUGGUCCGAACAGAGUAAUCUCAGAUCUCGUGCGAGAGGAAAGGGGAAAGUAGGAACAAGAACUAGUGCUUGUAUUGAUAUAAGAUGUAUGUUUGUAUCAUAGAGAUAUUCUCAGCAUAAUUCCCUAGCGAUUACAGAAGGCAGCGGCUAGCUUUAUAGCUGCAGCUGGCAAAUGGAUGAAACAGAACAGUAAUAGCAAAUGAAACGGUACAGUGAACGGUAACGGUUGGUGGAGUAGGCGAGCCCUGUGAGCCGUACGAUGCGCCGAACCGUUUUGCACCAGAGCCGUCCUAUAACUGAAGAUAAUAAGCUGCUCCUUGACACUUGGGCCUGACAAUACCCCCGGGCGAAAACGAGCUUGUCCUCAAGGAGUUGUUCGGUUGAACCACCUGUCGAUGGUGCUCUUGAAGAAUGUAGGGAACGUUUUCUUCAUGAAUGAUGCGUCUUCCCACGAAGCUUCAUCAGGAGGAAGGUUUGCCCACUGUACAAGCCACUGAACCACAGGCAGGUUGUUGCGGGGUACCUGAUGGGUUUCCAGAACGAGAACUGGUUCGGUCUGAAUCAUCCCAUCUGAUCGAACCAGGGGAAGGUCUACACACGGAACAACUUUAGGGACGACAUGUUUCUUCAACUGGCUAAUAUGGAAGACUGGGUGUAUGUUGGUAGUGUCAGGCAAGAGCAGUUUGUACGCGACGCGACCCACUUUCUUGAUGAUCCGGAAAGGUCCAUAGUAUUUGCUCUGAAGUUUAAUAUGUGUACGCAGACCAAAAGCAUUGAGGCGGUACGGUUGCAUUUUCAAGUACACCAUGUCCCCAACUUCCAGAAUCCUCUCUGUACGUUUGCGAUCAGCGUAUUUCUUCAUUCGCGCCUGAGCUGCUGCCAAGUUGGAUUUUAAGUGCAGUAGCAGAGCAUCUCUGUCCUGAAAGAACUGUUGUGCAUUGCCGUUCAGCUGGUCAGGGAGAAUGUUUUCUCCAAUGUUAGGAGGAGGGAAUCCAUAGGCUGCUUCAAACGGUGUCUUCUUGAGGGAGGAGUGGUAGGAAGUGUUGUACCAGUACUCUACCAUGGAGAGUUGAUUUGCCCAUUUUUUUGGUUGUGUGGAUGUCAAGCAACGCAAGUAGUUCUCGAUGCACUGGUUAACUUGUUCUCUCUGACCAUCAGACUCCGCAUGGUAAGCAGUGCUGUAGCGGAGGUCACAGCCCAUGCCCUUGAAUAUAUCUUGCCACAAUCUGCUCAUGAAGAUAGCGUCUCUGUCAGACACAAUUGCCAAGGGAGGGCCAUGUAGCUUGAUGACAUUGUCGAUGAACGCUUGAGCUACAGUUUGUACUGUAUAAGAGUGGGAUAGAGGAAUGAAGUGGGCAAAUUUAGAUAACCUGUCGACCACCACAAAUAUGACAUCUUUCCCAUUUGAUUUUGGUAGCCCUUCGAUGAAGUCCAUGCUCAAGUGUGUCCAAACCAUGUCAGGUAAUUGUAAUGGAUCCAAGUAACCAGGGUAUGGGCAGUUCUCACCUUUAUUCUUCUGACAGACAGGACACUCAGAAACAAAAUGAUCCACUUCCUGUUUCAGACCAGGCCAGUAGAAGAUCUGUUUGAUCCGUUGGUAUGUGGCUUUCAUGCCUGAGUGACCCCCCAAAGAAGAUGCAUGUAAUGCAGUUAGGAGCUUCUUUCUCAAGUCCACAUCCUUUCCCACAUAUAUUCUGCCCUUGUGUCUGAUGAUGCCAGAGUGUAAGGAGUUUUGGUCCACAUCAUGGUUAGGAGAGAGGAGCAAUUUUUCAAGCAGGGAUUUGCAAGCAGCAUCAUUGCAGUAAGAACUUUCCACUGCAGAGAUCCACUGUGGAGUUGCCAGGGAAAUUGCCAUUACAGAGUGUUUUCUGGAAAGUGCAUCAGCAGCAAUAUUUUCUUUUCCUUUCUUAUACUGCAAUGUGAAAUUCAGUUCCAACAACUUCAACAUUAACUUGUGUUGGAUGCUUGUAGAGAUCUUUUGGUCAGUCAUAAAUUGCAGACUCUAAUGGUCUGUUCUAAUUAUCAGGUCAUUGCCCAAAAAAUAGUGUCUCCACCUCUUCAAGGCUGCAAUGAUAGCAAGGGCUUCUUUCUCAUAAGUUGAAAGAGCAGCAUUUCUUGAGCAUAAACUUGAGCUGUAAUAAGCUAAGGAUCUUCCACUUUGCAUCAUGACUGCUCCAAUACCUGCUCCUGAUGCAUCUGUUUCCAAAACAAAUGGCUCAGAAAAGUUGGGCAAGGCCAAUACAGGAGUUGUAAUCAUAGCUUGUUUAAGAGCUUGGAAAGCUUGUGUUUGGACUGUGGUCCAUUGAAAGUUGUCUUUCUUGAGAAUAUCAUGCAAUGGCCUGGCUAUAAUUCCAAAGUUCUGCACAAACCUUCUAUAGUAACCACAUAAUCCUGGGAAACCUCUUAGUUGAGUGGGAGUAGUGGGUACUGGCCAUUCAGCUACAACAACUACUUUGCUAGGGUCUGUGGAAACUCCUUCACCAUUAAUUACAUGCCCAAGAUAUUCCACCUGCUGGACAGCAAAGACACAUUUGAAAAGUUUUGCAAAGAGCUGGUGUUCUUGGAGCAACUGAAGGACAAUCUUCAAAUGAGCUAUGUGUUCAGACAUGGAUUUACUGAAGAUGAGGAUAUCAUCAAAGAAGACAAGCACAAACUUCCUGAGAUAAGGUCCAAAGAUGCUGUUCAUAAGUGCUUGGAAUGUGCCAGGUGCAUUUGCUAGACCAAAGGGCAUAACAAGGAACUCAUAAUAUCCAAAAUAGGUCCUGAAAGCAGUUUUUGGUAUGUCAUUUUCAUCCAUUCUCACUUGAUGAUAACCAAAUCUGAGGUCUAAUUUGGUGAAGUAAGUUUCUCCAUGAAGCUCAUCCAGUAAAUCUUCAAUUACUGGGAUUGGAAACUUGUUUUUGAUGGUAGCUGAGUUAAGUUUUCUGUAGUCAAUACAUAAUCUCCAUGUUCCAUCCUUUUUCAUGACCAAUAUUGCUGGUGAGGAAUAGGGGCUCUCACUAGCUCUAAUGGUCUUUUCUCUGAGCAUGGCAUCAACCUGCCUUUCCAGUUCAUUCCUCUGCAUGUGUGGUACUCUGUAUGGUCUAGAAUUGGGUGGGAGAGAUUGUUCUUUGAGAGGUAUUUUAUGGUCAUGGGCUCUCUUUGGGGGCAAUCCUUUUGGCUCCUGAAAAACUGUAAGGAAUUGUUGCAGUACCUCCUCAACAAGUCGUGGUAUUUCCUGUGUAGGUGGUAUUUUCAUAGUUGUGUCCCUGAUGAGAUUCAGAACCAAUCCAGGAGCUCCAGCAGUCAUGAGUUUAUUAACUUCGACAACAUCAAUGAGAGUGGCAUCAGAUAACAUGUCACAAGCUUUAAUUGUGACUGGUGUCUGUUUAUCCUUCAUGACAAUGAUUUGCCUGGGAUUAUAGUGAAAUGCUACAGGGCUGUGGGUUUCCAUCCAAUCGCUACCAAGUACUAUAUCGUGUCCAGGCAGAUUAAGUACUCUAAACUGCUGUUGGAAUUGUGUAUGGCCAGUUGUGAAUGUGGUUGUUGGUACAUAAGAUCCUGACCACAAAGUGCCUCCUCCUGCUACUGUUACUGCCCUUGUUGCAUCCUUGAGGAUGGUGCAGGAAGUUUGCAGUGCAAACUGAAGACUGAUGAACGUGGAAUUACUGCCAGAGUCCACUAGAGCAAUGCCCUGUUUGCCUCCAAUAUUGACCAAUAUGGAUAUUGUGUUACUGUUGUCAGAACGCAUGGCUUGAGCAGAGAUGGUCAUGCAUUGUUCUUCAGUUUGUGGUUGUUCAGAAUUUUCCUGUUCAUCCAGUUCCUGCUGUUCUUGUGUUUGUUCAUUAGGGUCCUCGCCUGUUAACACAUUCAGAACUGGUGCUAACUUGCACUUGUGACCAUGGAACCAAGUAUCUCCGCAAUGCCAGCACUUGCCCGGCUCCCGAGCUCUUUGACUUACAGUAGUUGGCUUAGGAUCAGGAGGUUUUUCAGGUUUGUGAUAACUAGCAGAGUUUUUAGCAAUGUUAUAACCCGCAGUGUAAGAUUUCUUUUCAGAAGCUCCCUUUUCCAGGUCAACAGCUAACCAAUAGGCCUCAGUGAGUGAAGUUGGUUUAAGUGGGCGCAGCUGAUACUUGAGAUGGGCUCGGAGGCCAUUGACAUAACAGCGGACAAACCACUUUUUGUCCAUAAUAGGAUUUUCCGCUUGCACUUCUGCCAUCAACUCCUCGAACUGAUCAGUGUAAUCAGAAACUGAUAGUGUAUUUUAUUUCAAGGUGUUGAAUUUCUCUGUCAGUUUGUAAGAAUUGGCCGAAGAGAAUCUGCGGAGCACUUCUUCACAGAACUGGCUCCAACUCAAUUGUUUCUUGAGAAUACCCGAACGACGCAACCAAACGUCAGCCUUUCCCACUACAUAUAACUGUGCUAAACUGACUUUAUAUUCAGCCGAUGCACCUGCCAUUUGGAAAUACUUAUCGCACUGACGGAUCCAUCCUGCUGUGUUGUCGCCAUCAAAACGAGGGAAAUCCAUUCUGGGGCCCUUGGUGAUGCUUUUAAGGAAUUGUGUUCGCAUUUCCUGCUCAUAUUGUUUCUGAAAUUCUUCCCAGCCCUGACGAACAGCUGGAGGUUGAAAAUUGUGGAACCCUGGGGUACAUGCUGUCUUGUACGCAGCUGUUGGUGUAGCGUUGCCCGAGUGAAUAUCCACCGCAUUGCUAGCUCCAAAACCUGGAGGAACAGAAGGUCUGGGAACCUGGAUUGGGGCUAAGUGAGGAGGGACUUGUGAGGCCAACUGUUUGGUUUUCUCUUGUUCCAUAGCUAGUCGCUUCCGCAGUUCGUCAGUGAGUGUUUUGUCUGCUUCCCCCACUGCUUCUCUGCUCUCUGGUGGAACAGUUGCUUGCUCAGGGAUUACUGACCCUUGUGGUGCAGAAGUGGAUGCCUCAGGUGUACUAAGGGUCUUCAGCACAUCAGCCAUGGCCGCGAGUUGUAAUUUGAGAGACGAUACUGCUUUCUGAACUCCGCUCAUAACUGAAACCAUCGUGUCCUACUUGGUGUUGAUUGAGUGCACCUCCUUGCGCAGAUCCUCCAUCUCGCCUCGCAGCUCUGCCGUUUCUUCACGCUGUUGCGCAAAAUCGUCCUUCAUGGCCAGCAGAUCAGACACCUCCGCUUCAUCAAAACUUGGCUUGGAUUUCCCCAUCGUAGUGGAGUGGUCAGAGAGGAAUUUUACCACAGGAUCUGGCCGGGAACCCGAACUGAGCACUCAACCCUGCCGCCGCCGUCGAGAUUGGCCACCGGAGCAGCACCACUCGCCGCUAGACCUGGGAUUUUACUGCGAGAGCGAUGUGCUCCCCCAACCAGUCGCGCUCAAUGAGCUGCCGCCGAAUGAGUCUACCGCCGCCUGCGCCGCCAAUUCCGUCUCCCCCUCGCACUCGUCGCCGCUGCCGAAAGAGGGAGGGAAGGGAGGGAAAUCACCGUAGCCGCUCCAAUCUGUCACGCCGCCGAGGAAAACCUACGCUCAUGAUACCAAUUGUCACACCCCGCAUGGGAAUUGGGGUGGUUCGAACUUAGUAAUCUCAGAUCUCGUGCGAGAGGAAAGGGGAAAGUAGGAACAAGAACUAGUACUUGUAUUGAUAUAAGAUGUAUGUUUGUAUCAUAGAGAUAUUCUCAGCAUAAUUCCCUAGCGAUAACAGAAGGCAGCGGCUAGCUUUAUAGCUGCAGCUGGCAAAUGGAUGAGACAGAACAGUAAUGGCAAAUGAAAUGGUACAGUGAACGGUAACGGUUGAUGGAGUAGGCGAGCCCUAUGAGCCGUACGAUGCGCCGAACCGUUUUGCACCAGAGCCGUCCGAUAACUGAAGAUAAUAAGCUGCUCCUUGACACUUGGGCCUCACAGGCGGCGAGGCAGGGGUCGCCGGUGACGAUGAGGAAGGUCGGAGCAUGGUUUCCCUGGCAGAUCCAUGGCAUCCGCGGCUCCUGGGCAGAAAGAAGAAUGGAGAUGAGGGAGAGAAGAAGGAGAAAGGAGGGGAGGUGCGGUGUCCUAGGCAGGAGCUCGCAGGAGCCGUGCGACGGAGGACGGGCGCCGGAGACGGAGGGAUUCAGAGCCGGCCGGUCGGGCGACACCAACCAGGCCAGGGGUGGUGUACGACUCUACAUCACCAUCAGGUAAUCCUUUCAUCCCCACGAUCUGGUCCUCAAUCGCCAUGUUCUUGAACUGCAGAAAUCACUCAUUCCCCAUGUACUUGAGUUGCAGAAAUCAUUGGUUAACCAAGUUUUCUAAUACAUUACUGUCAAAUUGCAUGGGCCUAUCAAAUUUUGUAAUAUAUAGAUGAUGUUAUGCUGUCAAAUUCCAUCCAUCUACAUAUUCCAUGUGCAAAGUAAAGAAAUUCAGAUGUUGCAGGUUGCAAACAAGCAAAACCAUGACCUGUCAUCUGCAGAAUUAACCUACAUGUAAAUAAGAUUUCUUUUCCAACCAUCUUUCAAAGAUAAAAUCUUACAGCGAAUGGAUCAGUUUUAACUAAUACAAGUACACACAACAUUCAGCUCGACAGUUGGUCAUCUCCCUCCCAUUUUUUCUUUUCUGUUUCCAGUUCAAUCAAGUCAGGACAUCACAUCUCUACAAGGCCAUUUUUUCCUCACAUUCAUAGCAAGCUUGCAAGUUCCUUCUAUUAACAACAGUACCUAGCACAUACACAAGUUUGUUGGCCGCCGGAGUUGCUGCACUCGUGGUCGUCGGAGUCUACCACCACGCUCAUGCUCCACAUGCAUGUGGUCUUCCAGUCAGUGCGACGCCCAUGUGGCUGUCCUGUAGCAGAGCCACCUUGACCAACCGUGGGAGCCAGAAUCUUGGUGUGGGGCUGACGGCCAUGCUGCCUGUGGUUAUCUUGGUAUCGCUGACUGUCAGGACGCCUAUUUCUGCUUCCUUCUGGAUGAACAAGGGAGAUGGAUGUGUCAGUAGAAUUUGAUCUGAAUUGAUUGAUCGGCUUGUUUUGAUGGCUUUUUGCGACAUGUUUGUUAUGUUUCAGAAUCUUUUUGAAACCGAAAUUUGAAAAGAGCAUGAGUUUUGAUAGGAUUUUAUAUAUUCUUCGGUUGCUUACUGUAAUCUUUUUUAAACUGAAAUUUGAAAAGAGCAUGAGUUUUGAUAGGAUUUUAUAUAUUCUUCGGUUGCUUACUGUGACCUGUACCUUCUGGUAGAUUGAUAUAGAUAGAAUCAUACUGAUUUCCUAUAAUUUCCCCAUCACAAAGAUGUUCUAUUUGUUUGGUUUGAUUUAUUGUGAUGACCAUCAGAAAUCACUUAUAUAUGCUAUUCAUACUGUUAAAUUUAGUUCUAGCGACCCUGAGGAAGUAGUGUGUUGUACGCCUGACACAUGAUUGAGAAUUAACUUGCUUGAAGAUAUGGUUCAGCUCAAACCUCUUUUCCAAAUGUCAAUGGGCUGUUGUUUUUGGAAAUUUUGAUCAACACUCCGAAAAAAAUGUAUGAUGUGCCUUUUUUACUUUGGAGUAUCAGUAUGCAAACUCCAGAAUUGGAGUAUUAGCAUGAAAACUCCAUAAUGUUUAUGUGGUCCUGAUACACACAUCAUGAAGUUGGUAACUGUUGUGGUAUUUAUAUUCAGAUUUGACAGGAAUAAAAACUGAACCUAUUAAAUAGUUAUGUUAAGCUAGAUGGGUUUACUCAUAUUCCAUCGCUAGACGAACUAGCCGCAAGAAGCACGGUUAAAAUUCAGCUCCAUUUGAUUUACAUUCAGAUCAUCUUGCUGCAACACCACUACUUUUCUUGAUAGCAAACAACCAGUUUCAGUAAUCAUAUAUUGCUUUUCUGAUUUGUUUAUUCUAUUAUACCAUAGAUAUCGUAAGAGAGAGUUAAUCACUUAAUGAGAGUGUUUUGUUCAGUCAAUUGAGUGCCUGCUGGUCUGAUUAGUUUAUGUAUGUCAUGGUUCCUUUUAAUAGCUAUAAGUUGCAAUUCCCAGACAAGGCAUAUGUUCUAUUGUUUCUCAGGUUUGUACAUUCCAAGCCUGCCUUAGGACAACCCUUGUGAUAGUAGGGUGGGUGCUUAUUGAACCCACAAUCCGUGAGCUGGAUGUCAAAAUUAGAGAAGGUAUGCAUGUUAUUAAGCAUGCUAUCUAUCGAUGUGACCUUUUCAGAUGUCGAUUGAUAUUUCAUACUACAGGAUGAGUACUAAUAUGAUCUGCACGCACAGCUGAAAAUGAUACACAUGACAGGAAGAGAAAGUGUGAAGCACUCUACCCAAUUUUCCGCAUUUCAAGAAGCCAUUACAUUUAUGAUCUUUUCUAUAGAAGAAGGAAGGAUAUAUCAAAUGAGCUGUAUGUGUUUUGCCUGGACCAGGGUUAUGCAGACCGUAAUCUGAUUGUAAAGUGGAAAAGGUCAGUUGCCUCAACUUUAUAUCAUUUAAGCUAGGGACCAAGAUGGAUGAGGUUGAUUUGGCUUGAUCAUGCCAAAGAAAUUUACCUCCUUUUUGGAAACUGAAAGCAUGUUUCGGAAGUUCAGGGUUAAAUUUCCAAAUCUGAGCUUUAUAGCAAGUCAAAGAGGAUCAAGAGAAGCAGAGUAGGAUAAUAAAGGUUCAUAUAGAUGUAGUAAUCUGUCACUAUCAGCUAGCUCAAGUAUGUAUGACUGUACGAUAAUACAGGUUCACAUAUAUGUAGUAAUCUGUCACUAUCACUUAGCUCUAAUUGAAAUUUUCUUGGAGCAGUUUCAUUUGCAAAUAGACCAGCUACACGGGCACACGCAUACACACACACACACCCUAAUUGAGAUAUCAUAUUACUUACAUGAUGUGGGUUAUUCAGGUUAUUAUGAUAAAUUAUUUGACUGAUCAUUGUAAGCUGUCAAAUCCAGUGGGUAAACAGAUGGCUAGGCUGCCUUUAGAUCCAAUGUACUCCAAGGCAUUGAUAGUGUCUACCGAAUUCAAGUGCUUGGAAGGAAUGUUGAUUGAUGUUAGUAGCUACAGUUAUCUGCAAUGUGCCGACGUACAGGAGCAAUAAGAAGGAUCUCAUGACUUAUCGGUUACCGAGCAGAACCACAUAUAGCCGUGCCUCCUUUGCUGCAUCAAGAUCAGGAACCUCCAGAUUCAUUGCUUCUUGGUCUUUAUUUUGUUGGUGCAUAAAUUGUAGUGCAGUGAAUAACACGGAAUGGAUCAGAGUGGCUUGAGAUUUUUUUAAUAUAGGUGAAUAACAGAAUUUUUUCUUAUCACAUAGCAUUCUGUUUUGCUAUUUCAAAUGUGCUUGCCAAUGUGCUCUUUAUCGAACAAUCUUUUGGCCUUCGAAGUUUCGAACAACUGUUUGUCACAAUUUUUUAGAUCGGUUGUAGAUUUUAUUGACCCUCUCCCAUAAACUCGGAAUUGAGUGAUUCUUUUUACUUUGGAAAGCUUAAGUCAAUAAGCAUCUUGAGAAAAUAUAAAAAAAUUGGUAAAAAAAUUCAGAGGAUAAGUUGAAGAGAGAAGUUUCAUUAAUUGUACUCCCUCCGUCCGAAAAUACUUGUCAUCAAAAUGGAUAAAAAGAGAUGUAUCUAGAACUAAAAUACAUCUAGAUACAUCCCCUUUUAUCCAUUUUGAUGACACGUAUUUCCGGACAGAGGGAGUACAUGUUUUGGAGCUUAUAUUUUUAUCGAGAGCUACGUUUGUUGGUACUCUUGUGCAAUUAAGAUCGUGCUGUUGGAACCAUGUGUACAUUUAAUCAAGGCAUUGGGGUCCACAGAUCUUGUUACGACACGAAAAUAUUUGAUGAUUAUCAUUGCAGACGCCCUCAAUCUCAGGAACACUCUUACUAUGUCUUUGAUUCUGUUAAAGACCCAUGUAGGUAUGCCCAACCUGCCAUUUGUUUAUGCUGGCGACUUCAUCAAAGUGCUAUGGCAAAAGCAUGUUUCCAAAAGCUAUUCCAAGAUGGUAUCUAUCCUCUCUUUUUUCUUUUCCAUUAAUUUUUUUAUUAAGCUGAAAUGGUAUGUUUCGAGUCUUAUAACUAGAAUUGGAAUUUUGGCAGAUCAUAUAUGUUGAAGCAUGUGAAAGUGGCAGUAUCUUUGAGGGAUUAAUGCCACAAGAUCUUAAUAUUUAUGUUACAACAGCAGCAAAUGCGGAAGAAAGUAGCUGGGGAGCAUACUGCCCUAGGAUGGAAACACCACCUCCUGAGUAUAUGACCUGCUUGCUGCUUGGAUGACGCAUACAAUGUUUCUAGGAUGGAAGACAGGUAAAAAGCAUCAGCUGUAAUAUUUAUGCUCUGUAUGUUGUCUUGCUAUUCUGAACCAUGGGAUCCUACUGUGCAGUGAAACUCACAAUCUACAGAAGGAAACCAUCAAGCAGCAGCACGAAGUGGUUAAAGCAAGAACGGCACCCCCAAAUGACUCCAAUAUCGGUUCUCAUGUCGAGGAGUAUGGUGACAAGACAUUCAAGGAUGGCAAGCUUUUCCUUUAUCAAGGUUUAUAUCCUGCGAAGUCAAGCAUCACAAACAGGCCGCUGCUUUCGCCCAGCCUCAAGGGUGCAAUCAAUCAAAGAAAUGUUGAUAUUCUUUUCAUGUGGAAGAAGGUAAAAUCCCCGUUAUAUAUUUCUUGUGUAGCUCAUCUUCUCUGUUACUACUAAUUUUCAUGUGUUUUGAUUUGCCAAAUUUGUCUGCUAACAAUGUAUCUUCUCGCUUUCAGUAUGAGCAGUUAAAUGUUGGAUCAGAGGAGAAGCAGAGGGCUCUCAGGGAGGUCAAAGAAACUGUGUUACACAUGAAGCAUCUCGACAGCAGUAUCGAUUUCAUCGGGAAGCUUGUCUUUGGAUUUGAGGGGCCUUCGGUGCUUGAGGCUACUAAAGGCCCUGGCCAGCCAUUAGUAGACUAUUGGGAUUGUCUAAAGACGAUGGUGAGUGUAACAAUUCCUUGUUUACAAUCCCAUAAAUAUGCAACACCCUGCAGUACUCUUUAUGUUUCCGGUUGAGCUUAAGUUUACUGUGUACUGAUGCCAAUCACUGCUGUUAGGUGCGAGUUUUCGAGUCCCAGUGCGGAUCACUCACUCAGUAUGGCACGAAACACAUGAGGGCGUUCACAAACAUCUGCAACAAUGGCGUCUCCGAGACCGAGAUGAAGGAGGCCAGCAUCAGCGCUUGCGACAGCUACAACAUCGGUAAGUGGAGCCCGCUGGUUCUAGGGCACAGCGCCUGGUCGGCUGCACUACAGUAGUACAUGCAUGGGAGCAGUACCAAAUGCUCCAGAGGUUCGUAGCUAGACCUCAUAUAUGGUGUGUGUGUACAUAUAUACAUUGUUUUAAACAUGCAAGAAACAAGCCGACGAUGCGCCCCAUGUGGUGUCGGGUCAAUCAGUAGUUUAUGAUCGUGCUCGUGAUUUGACUGUAGUCAGUUGAAAGGCAAUGAUCGUUGUGCAUGCUAUGCAUAUGAUUCGUAUUUGUGGAUUUUGACAUCAAUAGUUUAUUCAGAAGAAAUAUUGUAAUCUCGUACAAAAGAGUCGACUAAGUUUUCUUUAAAAAAAAUUUGUCAAACGUGAAGGAUCAUACAGGCAUAUGCUUGACUAAAUUGAUAUAUUUAUAAAAAAAUUGAAUUAGAUGCACUAAUUAGAAAAUAUGCAUUUAAAUUAAAUCAUCGCCUUUCGCCUCUACUUUGAGCUAGCUAUUUUUUUAAAUGAGUUCAGCUACUAAUUUUAAAGACCCCUAAAAAAUCUACUAAAUCUCAGUCGACUGAGAUCUAACGGAGUCUCAGGCACCUUUUCAAGCCGUUGGAUACAUGCACACUAAGAUUAUGUGCUAGGAAACUUUCCUUUUUUAUUCUGAUCUGGAACGGAAAGAGAUGCGUGUGCGAUUCUGGACUCUACAAAGUAUGCGUGCUUUUUUAGAGAAAGAGCCUACAAUCAACACGAGAAGCUUGUGUUUGGGCCAAGUCCAAGAAGUGCAAAAUGAAAUAAACAUAAUGUAAUAUUGCAAACCAAACAAUCAACAUUUUCUAAAAAGAAAACCAACAUAGCAAAAACAUGUUUGCUUUUGAAUAUUAACAAAUAACUGUAUAUAAACAAUCUCAUUUCAAUGCACGCUGAUUGAAGCAACAUCGAAGGGCACGAAUGUGGGUUCAUCAAGUUUUUCUAAACUGUGAACACCAAAAAUCAUAUCAUCAUUGAGGAUGGUGGCAAACAUGAAAAGUGGCAACAUGAAUGAGACACCAAAAUCAUGCGAUGAUUUUCUCCUUCCGAUGGGACACACGACACAUUAAAUUGCUGCAUACAAAAGUUAGAUGGAACCUUCUUUUGAAAAACGCAGUAAAAACACAGACUCACAAACACAUACAUACACUAACCCCUAGAGAGACUGACUGGACGGGGUUUGAGAUUGAUGAACACACCACAAGCGUCUUGCUAUCGACACGAACAUCGCCAUCCAUAGAAAUAAUAUUUCGCCUUCAUGAGACAUGAAAGCGUCAAAGGUAGAUUUUAGUUCCUAUUGGUAUUGGGGUACCACCGCCCUCCAAACCAUCCAAUCCAACUAGAGGUUGGUUGUCAUGGUUAAAGAGAAACUGACCAAUAUAUCGGCAUGCACCUCCCUACCCCCGCCAUGCUAUGAUGAUGGGCGUUUUGUUGGACAUAUCAAUCUUCCCUCCUUUUGCAACGCAUGUGCAUAUUUGAACUCUUCCAAAUCAAACAAACAAUUAUCUCUAAAAAUCCAACAUAGUAAAAAUCCGUUUGAAUUUAAAUCUUUUCAAAAUUCUAAAAAAAUUGAAUUAGUUAAUAAACUCUCAAUUAGUAUAGAACAUUCUAACGUUUGUAUGACCCACUAAAAAUAAAUACACCACUCUUCCACCCAGUGAUAGUGCUAAGCCGAAAGAGGCGCCAUCAAAGGACACCAUUACGACUUCUUUAAGAGUAAGUACAAUAGGAUGAUGUAGACAGGUUAUAAGGGUUUAAAAAUUAUAUUUUUGAUGAGUUGAAGAAGGGAGAAGAGGAGAGAGAAGAGAAGCGGGCACUGAUUAACAGUCGGCCGUAGCACGCGCUCCUAGACAUUUCGUGAGAGACAAAGAUGUGUCAUGUAUCACCAAAGUAGUAAAUAUUUAUAUGUAACAAUUGUACUUGCUGGCUAUAAGAUAGGAUAUAGAUGAUGUGACAAGAUCAUAUAGCCAACAGCCGGCUAUACUAUUAACCAUGCUCUAACUCUAUACUCCAUGGUCCGGACAUCAGGAAUCAUUUUUUAUUUACAGGCACUGAGUGUGUGUUUUUUAAGACAAUGAGAGUUUCUAAUUGUUCCUGGUUUCAAAAAUAUAUACAUAUUUUAAAUAUGUUCACACUUUUAGGAAAUGCCGAAAAUUACCAAAAAAUUGUUCCAAUUAAAAAAUAUUUAUAAUUGUUCACAAAAUAAAUAAAUAAAUUCCAAAAAAUCAUGUGUUCAUAAAAUGUUCGGCCUCAAAACAUGUUCCAAUUCUAAUUAAAAAAAAGUUAAAAAUGUUGAAUUUCUUAAAAAAUAAACAAAUAUUUGUGUUUUUUUCAAAAAGUAAAACAUAUAACCGAUUCACAUACUAUUUCAUGCACCACUACUCUUUCACUAGACGAAGCAAGUUAGGCUGGUUCUUCACGUCCACACUUCAUGCUCCAAACAACCUUACUACCAAAAUUUAUAGAAUUGGUUAUAAGAAAUAAAUGGCACAAGGUGGCACAUGAAGUAGGUUUUGUAAUUUUUUCGACCGUUGCAACGCAUGGGCAUUUGUACUAGUUUAUUUCAUAAAAAAUCCUUGUGAAGUUUAAGUUUAUUUGGAGUUGUGCAAAAUAGGUAGUCUGACGUAGUUUUUCAGGUCUAGAUUUUCAGCUGCCGGAAUUCUCCCUCUUUUUAUGUACCUUACAUAUUAUGAGAGAAAAGGCAUUAGAAUUACUCCAAAAAAUAUUAUUAUGCAUAAAAACAUUAUAAAUAAUAGUAGGUAAACAUGAUACAAAAUGGACGUAUCAGUGCUCGACCCCAUCGUGGAUGGAUUUCACCUCACUAGAGUCCUCAUGGUCGGAGGCAGCAGCCUCAACCUGAUUUAUUCAGAUACAGUGAGGAAAAUGGGGAUCGACAUGUCAAGGAUCAAAUCCAGCAACACCACCUUAAAGGUGUAAUUCCAGGCGCCAAGGCAUGUUUCUCGGGAUCCAUGACGUUGGAGGUAGUCUUCGAGUCGCCCGACAACAUCCGCAGCGAAGACUUAAUCUUCGACAUUGUUCCCUUCCGCAUAAGUUACCACGCACUCCUCAGCCAGACAUCGUUCGUCCUCUUUAACGCCGUCCUCUUUAAGAUGCCAGGAGCGAAAGAUGUUAUUACCGUUAAUGAUAACACCGAGCGCUCGCUCCGAACAGAGAAACACACAUCGGCUUUAGCCGCCGAAGAAGCGUCGUAGGCCCAGUCUACAAGCAAGGCAGUGGAUGCACGCAAACGCGCCCGAGCUAUGGCCUCGGUCCUGGAGCACUCCCGUGCUCACCCCUAAAUAAGGAUACGAGCCCCACAGCAAGACCCACCUAGCCGCGAAAUACGUGCCUUGAGUGCACAACUUUGCGCUCAAGAUUCCAUGGGCAGCUCUAGGGAAAAACAACUCAGGCUGGUCAUAGUGGGGAGUAACUUAGACUAGUAACAUACAUAUGUUACUAGUCUAUGUUACUACCUUCAUAGUGGGUAGUGUCAUAGGUGUGGUAACAUAGUUGCCUUCAUUUAUUACUUUGUAGACUCAUUAUGCAUUGGAAACCGCUAUGUGAUGGUAACAUAUUAUGUUACUUUAUUUGCCUCUCUCCUCAUUAACUACUUGCCACAUCAUCAUUUUUGCUUAUGUGGCAUCUAUGUUACUACCUAUAUUACUCCCACUAUGACCAGCCUCAAGGGCCGAGAGCUCGGUUCGACCAGGCCACGGCCGAAGAUGUCCUCGGGAAACUACAAAACUACAGACACCAUCUAGUGCCUGAACAGCGUUAAGAUGAUACACCACAUCGACUUCUCAAAGCCCUCCCCAAGGACUCGUCCGCCGAACAUUACCAUUUCCGCCGAGCAUAUAGUCGACAGCUACACUCACACGGAAGCCUUGUACAAAGUAGAGGUGCAGACGUGCGGCAGGGCACAGUAGGGACGUCAAACCACUCAUGAAGGCCCUGUGUAAACCUUUCCUCUAAUGUAUUUAUUUCUUAAAGUAUCUGUAAAAGUUACUUCGGCAGCUUGGACCAUAUAGAUAGACGUCAUGAAUUUAAAGGAAAUAAUGACCAUUUUUUCCGGUCAUACUGCAGUUAAUUAUGUUGCACCUUCCUUUCUGCUUUACGGCCGAAGUAAACUAUUAUGAUAUGUUUCCCUUUUAGAUGUGAUCGGCUAAUAAACCCGGGGCUAGAACUUCAAUCCAACCCCAAACAUGAUUCUGGCACUAAUUUUAUUACAUGUGCUCGGCGUCACGGAUAUUGCAUUAUAUAAAUCAGUUUCGAAUUAUGUCUUUGGUUAAUGGUUAGGUUGCCCGGCUUCUGUGUUUGCCUUCCUACGUUCCGCUUUGUUCGGCUAGGGGGGGAGGGGGGGGGGGGUAAAGGGAGAACCACUAUGAUUGUACUUCUAGCUGGCCUGGUUACGUAUCUCAGUGGAGAAAGCCGAAAACCGACCAUCACAAUAAGCGAGAACUGGUCGGCGAUCCGAUGAGAAGUGCCAAACUAAAAUCGAUGGAGGUUCAUCCGUGUUAAACUAAGGUUUUGUUGUCACGGCAACUGUGAUGCCCCGGUUCAAUCAUGCACUAAUAAUACAUGCAAAUGCACACGAUCAAGCCCAAUGACUCACUUGAAGAUAUCACAACACAACUCUAAACACAAAUAAAAGUCAUACAAGCUUUAUAUUACAAGCCAGGGCCUUGAGGCCUCGAAUACAUAAGCUUGAUUCAAACAAGCAUCAACAGAAGCAUUAGAUAUCUGAGUACAGACAUAAGUUAAACAGAUAGGCCUUUAAGAAGGCGGGGCAAAACAAAAGCACUAGAUCGAAAGGCGCAGGCCUCCUGCCUGGGUGCCUCCAAAACUACUCCUAGUCGUCGGAGGGCUCCUCGUAGUAGUACUCCCGAGUGGGGUAGUAGUAGUAGCCGUAAUCGUCAGCUGGCUCCGGAGCUCCGUCGUCUGGUCACAACAUUCGGGUAUGGGGAAAAAGGGAAGCAAAGAAACCAUGAGUACUCAUCCAAAGUACUCAACAAGACUUAGAUCAGAUCUAUUCUAUGUAUGCAACAUUAUCAAAGGAAGGUAGUACAUAUGGGCUGGACUGUAGAAGUGCCAGAAUAGAGAGAAGACCUAGUCCUAUCGAAGACUAGCAUCUUCAACGGUCUUGCAGCAUUAGAAGAGUGCAAAUUAGUAUAUUAUACUAGCACAUAUGCCCGUGCGUUGCAACGGGAUAAAUAAGUAAAUACAUGCUUAAAAAUACAAAAUAGUUUAGCACCCAAAUAAAUUUGCAAAAUAGCAAAAAAUAAUUAAAAGUACCAGGUGUCGUUCUUGGAUAAAUAUAUACAUUCUCAGAUAGGACCUCACCUGUGUUAUUUGUCACUCAACUAAAUCAAAUCUAGUUACUGCUUUCACUAAAAAAAUCCUAGUUACUGCUGGGACACAACCUUUGUAUUUGAUAGUUUUCUACUUCAUUAUUCCACAAAGUCCGUACACAAUACAUGUUUGAUGAGACACCAACAUCCUCAUAUAUCUCUCUUGUUUGGCCUCCUUUGAUUUGGAAGAAUUUCAUAAAAAUUCUAGAGGAUAGGAUUCUUAUAGGAUUUUUUUUCAUUAAAGCCCUUUGGUUCAUAGAAAGAUGUAUGUUGCAUCUUUGUGCACAAGAUGAACGGCGUCGACAUUAAAGAUGGCUACAUGGUUAGUGAACAUAUACCCGUUUCCGUGACAUCUACGUUUGUUGUUUCGUAUUCCAUUAUCGGCUUAUUGAUGGUCGCUCACAACGUGUUGCUGAUGUUUGCAUUUGAGAAGAGGGUCCCGAAGAAAGCCGUUGAUCUUAUUGAGAGCAAUGCUGGCGUCUUGGACGAUUCAGGGAUCAUUCUUCUGCAUGACGAUGGAGGAGCCCGUGUAACGGCAUCGUUCAAGAAAUCAAAAGAUGUCAGGCUCGUCAUUCAAGGAGGCUUUUGGAAGUAUGUCAUACACCUCGAAAUGAAGGAAAAUAAUCUUGUGGUUAUCACGUUCCACAAACGUGCAGGGAUUGCGUCCAUGGCCGUCCGGGUGUGCAUCCUGUCUUAAGACACAUAUGCCGUGUCUAGUGUAUGGUUGGGGCAUAGAAUAUGAAUUGUUCUGUGCUAUAUUGCGCGGUCGCAUAUGUGGGCGUCGCUUGCUACUUUGUCAACCUCGUGAAUCCUUUGUGAACCUCGUGAAUCCGGAACUGGUAUACCCUUACGUGUGGUAUGUGGCUAUGCGAUGUUUGCAUCUAUGCAUCCCCGUUAACUAUAUCACGUAUUGGUUUGCAUGUUUUACUAAUGGCGAUCUGCACCGCUCUGGUUUGCUGUAAGACCCAUGGUUACAUGAUUUUUUUGGGCUACUGCUUGCUCCAUAACAUGAAUGGAGAUUGUGGAUCCAGCAUACACCCGGAUAUUCGUCUUACAUAAUCAUGAAACAUGUGAUUGUCUCGCAAAAAAAAAAAUGAAACAUGUGAUUGGUUAAAUACUGAUAUAUUGCACGACCGCCACCCACCUGCCUUUCAUCCGGAUCAACACAUAUGCAUCAUGUGCCUGCCACAUGUACUUGCAGAUCAUGUGCUUGGCACGUACAGUUUCGAAGUUGAGACCCCUCCGUGCUUGGGCUUCUUGUACCACGUACAUGGCACCCGGAUGACCUGUGCUUAUACUGCACAGGCACAUGGUUGCAAGGCGCACCCAACAUGUGCCGGGUACAAAGUCCAAUUAGAGACUGCUACAAAUGUGCCAUACGCAUUAUUCAAUCUGAGUGUUGCCCAAACUCACGGUAAGCGGCGUGUGGGUCCAGCCGACACUUCUUAUAUGCCAGGUACAUGUUCCAUCCUGAUGCUUUUCAUGUCUCCGACUUGACUUAUUUAUAGAAUCAUAUUUGUUGGCCUAUGUCAUCUAAAUAACUUUCGCAACCCGACAUCAACGAAUAUUUAAAAUAGGCUCCCGUUCGGCCCCCGCGUCGCCUACCCUAGGCGACACGGGGGCAGCCCCCAACUGCGCCCCCCCCCCCUUCUCUAGCUAAACCCCUCGCCGCCGUCGGAUGCCACCAUCAGGCGAAGCCCGCGUCGUGGCGGCGGCGGCGGGGCCUUCCCCCCGUGGCGCGGCUCUCCUCUCCUCCUGCGGGGCCCGCUGCUGGCGGCCCGCAUGCGGGUGGCUCGUCGGCGCCCUUCCCGGCGGCCUGGCGGCCGGCGACGCUCCUCCUGGUGGCGGAUCCGGUGAUCCCUCCUGCUCGCGCCUCCUGGUUGGCUGUCCUUCAUGAAGGCAUUGUCUUGUUGCUCGUGGUGUGUUCGGUGUUGGAUUUGAAGACUUCGGACGCUUUGCUGGUCCGGGCUGCUCCUCUUGGCGUGGGCAUCCGGGGCGCUAUGUACGGCCUCGACGACGCUCUUUUCGUGGCUUCUCCUCCUAGUUCGGCCAGAUCCUACACCCCACUUGCCGAUCCUCUAGGCACUUAGGUGGGAGGUACGUUGAUUUGGUUCGUUCUGGUGGUGUGGCCGUGCGGUGAUGGUGCCCGGCGUUGGUCGCGACCCGGCCCAGAUACCUUUGUAUCUCGUCUCUUUGCCGCAGGCUGGAGUUCGAGCUAGGAGAGUCUAUGCUGUGUUGUAUCCCUUCUUGUGUCUUUCCCACACCUUGUGUGGUGUUUCUCUCUUUUCCUCUUGUAUGUCUAUGUAAUUUCUCUUCUACCUAUCAAUGAAUGAUACGCAAGCUUUGCGUAUUCGCGAAAAUAGAAUAUUUAAAACAAUGAAAAACUACACAACCGGUCGCUCAUAACUUUACAUCCAUACCGAGCAACUUAUAGAUCGGUCAUGCCCGAAUACCGUGGUUUGUACUUGACAUUCAAAUUCAUUCCAUGUUGUGCUGACAAUAAUAUAUAGGUCCACAUAGAUAAUCUAGAUCAUUAUGGUACAAACACUUUGCUCCAACAGAAACAGUCUCAGGCAAAGAAUGCCCCCAAGAUACAUCAGUUUGUUACACCCUCAUAUUCGCUUGAAACUGUAUCCUUUAUCAUUCGUCGAUAGACUCGAUGAACUGAUGUGGCCUCCUUGUAUUGUUCCCCUUGAGAUGUAAUAUGUCGUGAAGGUAAUAUGGCGCCAGAGAACUGUCGUCCUCCUGGACAUGAUUGUGAAUUCAUUGCCAAGCAAUUCACAGAUAGUAGGAGAUGGAGAUGCAGAAAAUUAGAACUACUAACGUUCCAUCAUAUUUAUCAUGUCUGAAAAUGACUAGAACAACAUACUCACCAGGUGAAUAUUAUGAAUCGCUUGGUCGCCAAUGAAAUCCCUGCAGAAGUUCAUGGUGGACUGUUAUACCCGUCGCCCCUGUCUGAUUCGUCCUCUUCAACAAUUAUUGGCAGCUUAUUGAGCUUGCUGCAGUUCUGCACAAACAAAUGCCUUGUUAAAUGUACAACUCAACAAGGCUAAACAAAAAUCGUUGGUUUCUAAACUACGGUUAUCUUCCAAACAUACACAAUGGCGCAUCCCAUACACCAAAAAAAAGCUAACUAUCAACCUUGCUUCAUGUACGAUAGCAACUUAUCAGCUAGAUCUGUCCAUAUCCCAUCCACCUUACAUGUAUUGACAAAGACAUCAGACAUAAUGAGCAAUACAUUUGGGUCCCCAGGACCCAUCCCAUAAAGAACAGAUAGAUAAACAGGAUUGAAACUGCAUGCCAUCUUACCUGCAUACUGACGACUUAUAUUUUGCAACCUGCAAGAUACUGCUGCCCCAACCCCGUUCCUGAUCUGGCCUGCAUGCCAAAGAGAACCGUGAAUAAUCACCCUCCUGAUAUAAGCCCAAUGCCAAAAUACAUCCUGAAGUCCAAAAUACCGAUGCGCAUAUCUUAAAUCGAAUAUUUACCUGUGAUAGAUCCGUACAAGGUCCCUCGCCGCGAGAUGACAGGGGCGCCUGUGCCCGGCGCAGGAGUUCCCCGGCGGCUCGGCUCUGGCUUCCCCGGCGGCCCGCCCGUCCCGGCGCCUCCUUUUGUACCAGAAACUCCUGCCUCCCGGCGAGAUGACAGGGGCGCCUGUGCCCGGCGCAGGAGCUCCCCGGCGGCCCGGCUCUGGCUUCCCCCGGCGGCCGGUCCGUCC
rnacentral:lncRNA from 1 species